GGCAAAACUCUUCGAGUACGACGUUAGGAUAUACCGUUCGUCACUUCCGUGCUUUAUCCAAAGACCGAAGUCUGCUGCACUGGUAAAGCAAAAAAUGAAAGCGGAAGCGCUUUUGAAGGAGAGAAACAGUCACGGUAGUUGAUCGAUCGAUAGUCAUGAACCUGAGGCAGCGUCCUGCGCCGGGGCGAGUCCGUAUCAAUUCGCACGCGCCGCCGGAACUCUGGGAAGCGGACGUCUACAAUAUAAUCCCCAUCCACAGCCUCCUGACAGACCACCCUUCACUCCGGUAUCCGGAGAUACGUGCCGCUGCGGCCGCUCUACGCGCAACGGGGGACCUCCGGAAACCGCCGUUCGUGCAUUGGAACCCGAACAACGACCUGCUGGACUGGUUGGGACUCCUCUUCGGCUUCCAAAACGACAACGUCAAGAACCAAAGGGAGCACCUGGUCCUCCACCUGGCCAACUCCCAAAUGCGGCUUCAACCCCCUCCAACUAUACCCGACGCGCUUGCACCCUCAGUGCUCCGACGCUUCCGUCUCAAGCUCCUCCACAACUACACCUCCUGGUGCUCCUACCUUGGCAAGAAGUCCGAAAUCUACCUCUCCAAUCGAAGAUUCAGAACCGGUACUGGAAACGACGAAUCUAACGGUCUUCGCCGCGAAUUGCUCUACGUUUCGCUCUACCUUUUGGUCUGGGGUGAGUCCGCUAAUCUCCGAUUCGCUCCCGAAUGUUUAUGCUACAUCUUUCACCACAUGGCCAAGGAACUGAACCACGUUCUCGACGGUAAAAUUGACUCCGAAACUGGUCAAUCGUUCUUGCCUUCGAUUUCCGGGGACGGUGCGUUCUUGAAGUGUGUGGUCGUGCCAAUCUAUCAGACUAUUAAAACCGAGGUUGAGAGCAGUGGAAACGGCAAGGUGCCGCACUCGGCCUGGAGGAACUACGACGAUAUAAACGAGUAUUUUUGGAGUAGGAGGUGCUUCCAGAGGUUGAAAUGGCCGCUGAAUCCCUCGUGUAACUUUUUCGCCACGACGCCCAAGGACGAGCGUGUGGGGAAGACGGGGUUUGUGGAGCAGAGGUCGUUUUGGAACGUGUUUAGGAGCUUCGAUAAGCUCUGGGUGUUGCUCAUACUGUUCUUGCAGGCCUCGAUUAUCGUUGCGUUGGAGGGGAAAGAAUAUCCGUGGCGGGCGUUGGAGAGUAGGGAUGUGCAGGUGGAGCUGCUGUCUGUGUUCAUCACCUGGGCUGGCUUGCGAGUUUGGCAAUCGUUGCUUGAUGCUGGGACUCAGUAUAGCUUGGUUUCGAGGGAAACAAUCUGGCUCGGUGUGAGGAUGGCGUUGAAAUUCGCAGUCGCCUUGACAUGGACUGUGGUGUUUGCGGUUUUUUAUGGAAGGAUUUGGAUUCAGAAGAAUGGGGAUGGAGUGUGGUCUGAUGAGGCUAAUCGGAGGAUUGUAAGUUUUCUUCAGGCUGGUCUAGUUUUCGUGUUCCCUGAGUUUUUGGCAUUGGCUUUGUUUAUUGUUCCAUGGAUUAGGAAUGUACUUGAGGAAUUGGAUUGGCCUGUGCUCUACUUGUUGACAUGGUGGUUUCAUACCCGAAUUUUCGUGGGUCGUGGCUUGAGGGAAGGGCUUGUCAAUAAUUUCAAGUAUGCUAUGUUCUGGUUUGCUGUAUUGGCUUCGAAAUUCUCUUUCAGUUACUUUCUUCAAAUCAAGCCUCUGGUCAGCCCAACAAGGGCUCUUUUAAAUCUUAGUGAUGUACCUUACAAAUGGCAUGAAUUUUCCGCUAGCCCCAAUAUAGUUGCUGUUGUGUUGUUGUGGAUUCCUGUGCUGCUGAUUUAUUUCAUGGAUUUGCAAAUUUGGUAUGCAAUUUUCUCGUCCUUUGUUGGUGCAACUAUUGGGUUGUUUUCGCAUCUGGGUGAGAUUAGGAACAUUGGGCAGCUAAGGCUAAGGUUUCAGUUCUUUGCUAGUGCAAUGCAAUUUAGUCUCAUGCCAGAGGUGCUGCAGAUAAAUACUAAUAUGACACUGGUGAAGAAGCUCCGUGACGCUAUCCACCUCUUGAAGCUGAGGUAUGGAAUUGGUCAGUACAAGAAGAUUGAAUCUAGCCAAGUGGAAGCCACCAGGUUUGCCUUGAUUUGGAAUGAGAUCAUGGUAACUUUCAGGGAAGAAGAUCUGAUCAGUGAUCAAGAACACGAGCUCUUGGAACUGGCUCCUAAUAGUUGGAAUAUUAGGGUUAUUCGAUGGCCAUGUGUCCUCCUCUGCAAUGAGCUGCUGAUUGCUCUCAGUCAGGCAGAAGAGUUGGCAGAUGAGCCUGAUCAGUCGCUUUGGUUAAAGAUAUGCAAGAAUGAAUAUAGGCGGUGUGCUGUCAUAGAAGCUUAUGAUAGCAUUAAAUAUUUACUUCUUAUGAUCAUUAAAGAUGACAAUGAGGAGUACUCAAUUGUCGAGAAUUUGUUCAAGGAGAUAGAUUACCAAAUUAAGAAUGGAAAGUUGACACAGGAAUUCAAGAUGUCUGUGCUAUCAAAAAUUCAUGCUAAGUUAAUAGCACUUGUUAAGCUUCUGAAUCAACCAAAUAAAGAUUUGAGUGAGGCAGUGAAUAUACUACAGGCCUUGUAUGAACUAUCAAUCAGAGAGUUUCCAAGGAAGAAGUCGUCUAUUGGGAUGUUGAGAGAUGCAGGUCUGGCACCUCAUAGUCCAGCCACCAAUGCAGGGCUACUCUUUGAGACUGCUGUCGAGUUCCCCGAUGCUGAUGAUGCUUUAUUCUUUAGGCACCUACGGCGUUUGUAUGCUAUUCUUACUUCUAGAGAUGCCAUGCACAAUGUCCCAAGGAAUCUUGAGGCAAGAAGGCGUAUUGCUUUCUUUAGCAAUUCACUAUUUAUGAACAUGCCUCGUGCUCCGGAUGUUGAAAAAAUGAUGGCUUUCAGUGUUCUUACGCCUUACUAUGAUGAAGAAGUUCUCUAUAGCCUAUUGAAUCUCCGAAAGGAAAAUGAAGAUGGCAUUUCUACCCUGUUUUAUCUGCAGAAGAUCUAUGAAGAUGAGUGGGGAAAUUUUUUGGAGCGGAUGCAUAGAGAAGGCGUGGAGGAAGAGAGUGAACUCUACACAAUAAAGGCAAGAGAACUUCGUCUUUGGGCGUCGUACAGAGGUCAGACCUUAUCCCGCACUGUGAGAGGAAUGAUGUAUUAUUAUAGGGCUCUUAAGAUGCUUGCCUUUCUGGAUUCUGCAUCUGAGAUGGACGUAAAGGAGCGACCAGAAGAUGGUUUGGAUGGCCUACACUUGGGUACGCCACUAUCUUCACGUAAUCUCAACAGAGUAACUAGCAGUGUAAAUCUUUUGUUUAAGGGACAUGAGCAUGGGAGUGCUCUAAUGAAAUUUACAUAUGUGGUCGCAUGCCAGGUGUAUGGGAAACAUAAGGCAAGGGGAGACCCCCGUGCUGAAGAGAUAUUAUAUCUGAUGAAAAACAAUGAGGCUCUUCGAGUUGCCUAUGUUGAUGAGGUUCACUUGGGGAGGGAUGAAGUUGAGUAUUACUCUGUUCUUGUGAAAUAUGAUCAGGAGCUGCGCAGGGAGGUGGAGAUAUAUCGGGUCAGGUUGCCUGGCCCCUUGAAGCUCGGGGAAGGCAAACCAGAAAACCAAAACCAUGCCAUAAUCUUCACCAGAGGCGAUGCACUUCAGGCCAUUGACAUGAACCAAGACAAUUAUUUUGAAGAGACACUCAAGAUGCGGAAUUUAUUGGAGGAAUUCAACAACUUCUAUGGUAUCAGGAAACCAACCAUCUUGGGAGUUCGUGAGAAUAUUUUCACCGGUUCAGUGUCUUCACUUGCUUGGUUCAUGUCUGCUCAGGAAGCAAGUUUUGUGACCUUGGGGCAGCGAGUUCUGGCAAACCCAUUGAAGGUGAGAAUGCAUUAUGGUCACCCAGAUGUGUUUGACAGGUUCUGGUUUUUGACUCGGGGUGGGAUCAGCAAGGCUUCUAGAGCGAUAAAUAUUAGUGAGGAUAUAUUUGCCGGCUUCAACUGCACCCUGCGAGGUGGCAAUGUGACACACCAUGAAUAUAUACAGGUCGGUAAGGGAAGAGAUGUUGGGUUAAAUCAGAUCUCAAUGUUUGAGGCCAAGGUUGCUAGUGGCAAUGGCGAGCAGGUUUUGAGCAGAGAUAUAUAUCGGUUGGGUCAUAGAUUGGACUUCUUUCGAAUGCUUUCAGUUUUCUACACAACCGUUGGAUUCUACUACAACUCAAUGAUUGUGGUUCUCACUGUCUAUGCAUUUUUGUGGGGCCACCUUUAUCUUGCUCUCAGUGGUCUCGAAGAUGCAGCCAUGGGUACCAGUAACAAUAAAGCCCUUGGUGCAAUCCUUAAUCAGCAGUUUGUCAUCCAGCUUGGUCUCUUUACUGCUCUUCCUAUGAUUUUGGAGAACACUCUUGAACUUGGGUUCCUUCCAGCAAUAUGGGACUUCUUGACAAUGCAGCUUCAGCUGGCAUCAUUCUUUUACACAUUCUCAAUGGGCACUCGUACCCACUUCUUUGGCCGGACUAUUCUGCAUGGGGGUGCAAAGUAUCGAGCGACUGGUCGUGGUUUUGUGGUGGAGCACAAGAGCUUUGCUGAGAACUAUCGACUCUAUGCUCGGAGCCAUUUUGUGAAGGGCAUUGAGCUUGGGGUUAUUUUAACUGUGUAUGCUUCUCAUAGCCCCUUGUCUAGAAACGUUACUUUUGUUUAUAUAGCCAUGACCGUAUCUUCCUGGUUUCUAGUGGUGUCGUGGAUAAUGGCGCCAUUUAUAUUUAAUCCUUCUGGAUUUGAUUGGCUGAAGACUGUUUAUGAUUUUGAAGAUUUUUUGAAUUGGAUAUGGAAUAGUAGUGGGGUGUUUUCAAAAGCAGAACAGAGCUGGGAAACAUGGUGGUAUGAGGAGCAGGACCAUCUGAGGACAACUGGUCUCUGGGGUAAACUGUUGGAGAUUAUUUUAGAUCUACGAUUCUUCUUCUUCCAGUAUGGCAUUGUGUAUCAACUGAAGAUUGCUGCUAAAAACACAAGUAUAGCUGUUUAUUUACUGUCCUGGAUAUACAUGAUUGUGGUUGUUGGGAUUUACAUCGUCAUAUCAUAUGCUCGGGACAAAUAUGCUGCAAAAGAGCAUAUCUACUACCGUCUAGUUCAGUUUCUUGUCAUUGCGCUUACAAUACUUGUACUUGUUCUGUUGUUGAAGUUCACUCCCUUCGAGUUUCUUGACAUUGUCACAAGCCUCUUGGCCUUUAUCCCAACAGGCUGGGGUAUGAUAUUGAUAGCCCAGGUACUUAGACCUUUUCUGCAGACCACUGUGGUGUGGGAUACUGUGGUUGCCUUGGCCCGGCUAUACGACUUGGUCUUUGGAGUGAUUGUUAUGGCUCCUGUAGCGUUGUUGUCAUGGCUGCCCGGAUUUCAGGCGAUGCAAACAAGGAUUCUGUUCAACGAAGCAUUUAGCAGGGGUCUCCAGAUAUCUCGCCUUCUUACUGGGAAAAGGUCCAAUUGAGAUGUGAAUAGAGUGGCAUGCUCCCACUAGGUUUAAGGUCCGAAUUCUUGGGUGCAAACCAUCUCUCUAGGGACCACGAUCUAUCGGUGAAAAGCUGAUGAUUUACUUGAUCCGUGUGAUGGGGACGCAUUACAUGGAUUCAGGACAUAACUAGGUUAUGAGGUGGGACUAGGAGCAGAAAAUGAAGUAGAUAGCUGGCCUUCAUUUUUACGGACCGAGGUGUUUUCUGAUUUCUGUACGGUGCUGUGGCAUUGUUUCUUACCGGGGAAAUUAUGUUCUUAUUUUUUACCUUUUCAACUUCAUCUUCCAAUCACUGUUACAUCGGAUUGCACGCAUACGUGCCUUUGCUGCUGUAAUCUUGUGAUGGCACUGCGCAUAAUCAGUGAACGUAGAGUUUAGCCAUGUUUUCAGGGUUCGGUUAUGUACAGAUUGUCCAUGUACAGUGUAGUUUCGAUGCUAGUUUUCGGCAAUCGUACUAAUUUUGUUGAUCCUUUUAA